GAUAGUACACAUUUUACAAAAACAAAAUUAGUGGAAAAAAACAAGCCAUAAAAAGAGGUCGCGGUAAUUUUCCGUUACCCCUUUUUUUCUGAAAAUUUUUUGGUCUUUCUUUUGACCCACGCUAUUAUUUUUCGCCCGAGCGUCAUUUCGUUGCGCAAUUUGUCUGUGUACAGUGCGGUUUUGUAUCAAUUUUGUGCGUUUUUAAAAUAUUGCUUUGUUUUUUCUAAAUGUUAUUGAUUGCUUAACAUAUUUAAAUAACCCCCUCAACAAAGGGUGCAAAAUUACGUGCUUAUCGUGAGCUGUACGAUUAUUUAAAGCUAUUUACGGACAAGCUAGCUGUGGAAAUUACUUGGCGUGUAACUGCGGAUCCAACGAUUCUCAACAUACUUCAUUGUAAAAGAAAUGGUUAUUAAUAAAUUUCUUAUGUCGACGGAGCUGGACCUAAAUAACAUUGAUCAGCAAAAUUUCCUACAUGCCAGUGACCGUGUAUACAAGCGGACAAAGCCCUUAUACACAAAAUAAAUGCAAAA